rnacentral:rRNA from 1 species
GACAGAGGGGGCAAGCGUUGCUCGGAAUCACUGGGCGUAAAGGGCGCGUAGGCGGGAUGACAAGUCGGUCGUGAAAUCCCUGGGCUCAACUCAGGGGGGUCGGCCGAUACUGCCAUUCUUGAGGGAUGCAGAGGAGACUGGAAUUCCCGGUGUAGCGGUGAAAUGUGUAGAGAUCGGGAGGAACACCGGUGGCGAAGGCGGGUCUCUGG